GCCUAAUACAUGCAAGUCGAGCGAACGGACGAGAAGCUUGCUUCUCUGAUGUUAGCGGCGGACGGGUGAGUAACACGUGGAUAACCUACCUAUAAGACUGGGAUAACUUCGGGAAACCGGAGCUAAUACCGGAUAAUAUUUUGAACCGCAUGGUUCAAAAGUGAAAGACGGUCUUGCUGUCACUUAUAGAUGGAUCCGCGCUGCAUUAGCUAGUUGGUAAGGUAACGGCUUACCAAGGCAACGAUGCAUAGCCGACCUGAGAGGGUGAUCGGCCACACUGGAACUGAGACACGGUCCAGACUCCUACGGGAGGCAGCAGUAGGGAAUCUUCCGCAAUGGGCGAAAGCCUGACGGAGCAACGCCGCGUGAGUGAUGAAGGUCUUCGGAUCGUAAAACUCUGUUAUUAGGGAAGAACAUAUGUGUAAGUAACUGUGCACAUCUUGACGGUACCUAAUCAGAAAGCCACGGCUAACUACGUGCCAGCAGCCGCGGUAAUACGUAGGUGGCAAGCGUUAUCCGGAAUUAUUGGGCGUAAAGCGCGCGUAGGCGGUUUUUUAAGUCUGAUGUGAAAGCCCACGGCUCAACCGUGGAGGGUCAUUGGAAACUGGAAAACUUGAGUGCAGAAGAGGAAAGUGGAAUUCCAUGUGUAGCGGUGAAAUGCGCAGAGAUAUGGAGGAACACCAGUGGCGAAGGCGACUUUCUGGUCUGUAACUGACGCUGAUGUGCGAAAGCGUGGGGAUCAAACAGGAUUAGAUACCCUGGUAGUCCACGCCGUAAACGAUGAGUGCUAAGUGUUAGGGGGUUUCCGCCCCUUAGUGCUGCAGCUAACGCAUUAAGCACUCCGCCUGGGGAGUACGACCGCAAGGUUGAAACUCAAAGGAAUUGACGGGGACCCGCACAAGCGGUGGAGCAUGUGGUUUAAUUCGAAGCAACGCGAAGAACCUUACCAAAUCUUGACAUCCUUUGACAACUCUAGAGAUAGAGCCUUCCCCUUCGGGGGACAAAGUGACAGGUGGUGCAUGGUUGUCGUCAGCUCGUGUCGUGAGAUGUUGGGUUAAGUCCCGCAACGAGCGCAACCCUUAAGCUUAGUUGCCAUCAUUAAGUUGGGCACUCUAAGUUGACUGCCGGUGACAAACCGGAGGAAGGUGGGGAUGACGUCAAAUCAUCAUGCCCCUUAUGAUUUGGGCUACACACGUGCUACAAUGGACAAUACAAAGGGCAGCGAAACCGCGAGGUCAAGCAAAUCCCAUAAAGUUGUUCUCAGUUCGGAUUGUAGUCUGCAACUCGACUACAUGAAGCUGGAAUCGCUAGUAAUCGUAGAUCAGCAUGCUACGGUGAAUACGUUCCCGGGUCUUGUACACACCGCCCGUCACACCACGAGAGUUUGUAACACCCGAAGCCGGUGGAGUAACCUUUUAGGAGCUAGCCGUCGAAGGUGGGACAAAUGAUUGGGGUGAAGUCGUAACAAGGUAGCCGUAUCGGAAGGUGCGGCUGGAUCACCUCCUUU
rnacentral:rRNA from 1 species